CUCCUUAAGAGAUGUUUGGAUGAUACCGAUGAUGAAGUUCGUGAUCGUGCUGCCCUUAACCUCAGACUCAUCGAUGAUAGUGAAAUUGCUGAGCGAUUUAUUGC
rnacentral:miRNA from 1 species